rnacentral:rRNA from 1 species
GUGGGGAAUCUUCCGCAAUGGACGAAAGUCUGACGGAGCAACGCCGCGUGAACGAUGACGGCCUUCGGGUUGUAAAGUUCUGUUAUACGGGACGAAUGGUACGACGGUCAAUACCCGUCGUAAGUGACGGUACCGUAAGAGAAAGCCACGGCUAACUACGUGCCAGCAGCCGCGGUAAUACGUAGGUGGCAAGCGUUGUCCGGAAUUAUUGGGCGUAAAGGGCGCGCAGGCGGCGUCGUAAGUCGGUCUUAAAAGUGCGGGGCUUAACCCCGUGAGGGGACCGAAACUGCGAUGCUAGAGUAUCGGAGAGGAAAGCGGAAUUCCUAGUGUAGCGGUGAAAUGCGUAGAUAUUAGGAGGAACACCAGUGGCGAAAGCGGCUUUCUGGACGACAACUGACGCUGAGGCGCGAAAGCCAGGGGAGCAAACGGGAUUAGAAACCCUAGUAGUCC